rnacentral:rRNA from 1 species
UACGAAGGGGGCUAGCGUUGUUCGGAAUUACUGGGCGUAAAGCGCGCGUAGGCGGCUAUCCAAGUCAGUGGUGAAAGCCCGGAGCUCAACUCCGGAACUGCCAUUGAAACUGUUUAGCUUGAGGACGAGAGAGGUGAGUGGAAUUCCCAGUGUAGAGGUGAAAUUCGUAGAUAUUGGGAAGAACACCGGUGGCGAAGGCGGCUCACUGGCUCGUUUCUGACGCUCAGGCGCGAUAGCGUGGGGAUCAAACAGG